UCGACAGCCGAAACCUCUUGUGAGUUUUAUCCUCGCUUGCCAUGGAAGCUGUCGUUGAGCUCUGAAACAAGGUAACGAAGAAAUUUGCCUUUUCCGUUGUGAUUGUCACAUGCUCUGAAAAUUAUCCCAUAGCUUCCUUCUUUCAUCACUGAUCAUUUAUCCGGCAGCGGUGGCGGCUGGGGCUCCUAGAUGUCUAUUAUCGAGACCCCGACCGUCGAAUGCGUUCAUCAGCGCGGCGGAGGUAGCGCCGAUCACCAUCGUGCUUCCACUAAACGUAAAUUUGAUGAUUUCGCAACUGCCUUCAACGAUGACGGUGAAAAUUUUGUCGAUUUUUGUGAUUUAUGUGACUUGGUGUCGGUGAGAAUGAGGAAAGACGAACCGAAAGCCGUAAAUUCUUGCAAUUCUGAAACUUUUAACGGGUCUGUCCCAGAUGUUGUUGAUACUAGGAUAUCGGGCACUGCCCCGUAUGCUUGUUCAUCGCGGUCCGAGUCCACUCGGCCGUGGUCGAAACUGCAGUUUUUCAUUCGAUCGAUGUCAGAAGGAAAAACUAUGGUACUGGAUGCUUGUCCACAAGAUACUGUAAGAUCGAUUCAUGAACGUAUCCAAGCAAUUACGGGCAUUCCGCUGUUUGAGCAGAGAUUGAUAUAUAUGGGUAAACAGCUCCAGUGGGAACAGACUCUGGUCGAGUGUGCAAUUGAGAGAGAUUGUCAUCUUCAAUUGGUUGGGCGCAUGCGCAGCACAGAACAUCCUCAAGCUUGGCAGGUAAUCAACGAUAUGGUUUCUCUAAUUUGGCGUCUCUGCAGGGGUGAAGUGGAGCAUGAUGCCUCGAAAAUUAUCAAAGGCCUUAUAACUGACUAUUUAAAAAUGACUCCUAGAAUUGAUAAUGAUUCAGCUUCUGGUUAUUUCCAGAUAUUUUUGUCUUCAUCUGCCCCAGUUGUGCUUGUUAUGCUCUAUAUGUCACCCUAUGUAGGUAACAAAGAAUGUGCUGAUUGUUCAAUUAGGCAUUUUAUGAGUUCCUGUCGCAGCACCUUGUCUAAGUCAUUGCAUACUAAGUGCGCGAGUGUAGUGUUGGAGUUUUGCAAAUUACUCAGAAGGGCGGGUCCUGAGGAUCCUUUGUAUCUCUCUUGUCGGAGCACCUUUGGGUCUUUAUUGGAGACUGCUAAUAUUUCCCAUGUUUCAGUGAGCGACAAGGAAUUAAUUAUAAUUAAAGAUAUUCUCCCUUUUGUUCGAGAAAUUGCAAAGAGAUUGCUGAGGGCUUUGGAUAUGAGUAUGGAAUCCCCCACUAGUGUAGGGCCAUUGUUGAGUGAUGUUCGGGAUUUUACUGCAUUCUUACUCCCUCUAAGGACUAGAAUCAGCAAGCAACAAGCUUUCAAGAGUCUAUAUUCUUCCAAGUCUGAUGAAAAACUAAAUAAGCUCCUGUUACUUGUGGAAGAGGAUGAUAUUCAUCUUAUAUUUAGUGAAUUAUUGCAAAAAAUGGAUCAGUGCCUUAAAAAAAUGCAGGAAUUUGUGGCUGCCAAGGAACGAGAGGAGGGAGAUAAUCUUCCGGCAUGGUCUCAGUAUCUUUCCAUCUUGAAGGAAUUGUAUCACCUUUCUCAGCUCUAUGAAGGAGCUGAAGAAGAAUUUUGGUCAGUUUUGAGACAUCAAAGAAGUAUGCUGGUUCUACUUAUCACCCAGUAUGCAAAGCGAACUGAUGAUCAUCAGUGGAUUCUGGAGCACAAGCAUGUAACGAAUUUUGAAUCUAGGAGGCAUUUAGUGAUGCUGAUGUUCCCCGAUGUAAAAGAAGACUAUGAAGAAUUGCAUGAGAUGCUCAUUGACCGGUCUCAGCUGUUGGCAGAAUCAUUUGAAUACAUAGCACGGGCAGAGCCUGAAUCUCUACAUGCUGGUCUGUUUAUGGAAUUCAAAAAUGAGGAAGCCACAGGUCCAGGUGUACUGCGAGAGUGGUUUUUCUUGGUAUGCCAAGCUUUAUUUAAUCCACAAAAUGCUCUUUUUGUGGCGUGCCCAAAUGACCAGAGGAGAUUUCUUCCAAAUCCUGGUAUGUUCCAUCUAGAAUAUCAGCUCAAAUGCAUUUUUCUCCAGACAUCUAAGGUACAUCCUCUGCACCUUGAUUACUUCACCUUCUCUAGUCGAGUUAUCGCAUUGGCUUUAAUGCAUAGGCUACAAGUGGGUAUUGUUUUGGAUCGUGUGUUUUUCAUGCAAUUGGCCGGAAACUAUAUUACCUUAGAAGAUAUACGGGAUUCUGAUCCAGAGUUGUAUAGUACCUACAAGCAAAUAUUAGAGAUGGAUGCAGAUUUCAUUGAUUCAGAUGCUUUAGGACUGACCUUUGUUAGAGAGGUUGAGGAAUUGGGAUCCAGGAAAGUGGUUGAGCUUUGCCCUGAUGGGAAAAGCCUUGUUGUUAAUAGCAAGAACAGGGAGAAGUAUGUUGAUCUUCUUAUACAGGAUCGUUUUGUAACAUCUAUAUCUGAGCAGGUGUCACAUUUUGCCCAAGGUUUUGCUGAUAUUCUUUGCAACCUCAGAGUCCAACAGUUCUUUUUCAAAGUCUAGAUCUUGAGGAUCUCGAUUGGAUGCUGCAUGGGAGUGAAAGAACCAUUUCUGUUGAAGAUUGGAAGGCACAUACUGAGUACAAUGGCUAUAAAGAGACAGAUCCUCAAAUAAUUUGGUUCUGGGAGAUUGUUGGGAAAAUGUCAGCGGAGCAAAGAAACGUUCUUCUGUUUCUUAGGACAUCUUUGAAGCAUUUACCUGUGGAAGGUUUCAAAGGUUUGUCUUCUCGUCUCUACAUUUACAACAAGAAGGAACACAAUGAUCACCUCCCUUCAUCGCACACUUGCUUCUUCCAGCUAUGUUUCCCUCCAUAUCCUUCUUUCUCUAUCAUGCAAGAUCGUCUACGAAUCAUCAUGCAGGAACACAUUGGCUGCAGCUUUGGUACUUGGUGAAUAUACUUGCAUUUUGUAUAGAGGUGAUUUUGACUGCACAGAGAAAUAUUGGCUCUCAACUCUUUGUCCAGAUUAUAGGAUAAACUUGUCUGUCUGUCUGUUUGUGAUCAAUGUAAGAAGGCGCUUUAGUUAUGGUGUUCAGAUAUAAGGGUGGCGAAGUCAUUAUUCUCCUCUCAAAUGUUUAUAUGUUUAAGGUAUCAAGGAAAGUAUGAUUUCAGAGAGAAAUGUAGUAUGUUUCUGUGGUUUAUUUGUCUUUUAGUAACUCUUACUCUGGACACUGAAUAUCUCUUGACAUUAAACUCUGUAGACUAGACAAUUAUGCUCAAAGAGCAACUCUUUUCCCUUAUAGUUCUAUAAUUAUAACUAGUGGAAAUUUUCUACUUUGUGAUCC